AUUGAACGCUGGCAGCAGGCCUAACACAUGCAAGUCGAGCGGAUGAAGGGAGCUUGCUCCUGGAUUCAGCGGCGGACGGGUGAGUAAUGCCUAGGAAUCUGCCUGGUAGUGGGGGAUAACGUCCGGAAACGGGCGCUAAUACCGCAUACGUCCUGAGGGAGAAAGUGGGGGAUCUUCGGACCUCACGCCAUCAGAUGAGCCUAGGUCGGAUUAGCUAGUUGGUGGGGUAAAGGCCUACCAAGGCGACGAUCCGUAACUGGUCUGAGAGGAUGAUCAGUCACACUGGAACUGAGACACGGUCCAGACUCCUACGGGAGGCAGCAGUGGGGAAUAUUGGACAAUGGGCGAAAGCCUGAUCCAGCCAUGCCGCGUGUGUGAAGAAGGUCUUCGGAUUGUAAAGCACUUUAAGUUGGGAGGAAGGGCAGUAAGUUAAUACCUUGCUGUUUUGACGUUACCAACAGAAUAAGCACCGGCUAACUUCGUG
rnacentral:rRNA from 1 species